AUACGGGGGAUUCAAGCGUUAUCCGGACUUAUUGGGUUUAAAGGGUGCGCAGGCGGGAGAUUAAGUCGGCGGUGAAAUUUUGCAGCUCAACUGUAAAAGGGCCUUCGGAACUGGGUUUCUUGAGUGUAGAUGGAGGAGGCGGAAUUUGUGGUGUAGCGGGGAAAUGCAUAGAUAUCACGAGGAACUCCGAUUGCGCAGGCAGCUUACUAAACCAUAACUGACGCUCAGGCACGAAGGCGUGGGGAUCAAACAGGAUUAGAUACCCUGGUAGUCCACGCAGUAAACGAUGAUUACUCGCUGUUUGCGAUACACAGCAAGCGGCUUAGCGAAAGCGUUAAGUAAUCCACCUGGGGAGUACGUUCGCAAGAAUGAAACUCAAAUGAAUUGACGGGG
rnacentral:rRNA from 1 species